AAUAAUAAUAAUAUGUAAAUAAUAUCAUCAUAUAUAACGUCAAAGACAUAUAGAAAAUAAACACGCGUUCGUUCCCAAAUUUCAGAAAACACGAAACGUGAUUCAGUCCCAAAGUUCAGAAAUCAAGCGUGAUUCAACCGUUCCAUGAUUCAGAAAACGCGAUUCAUCUAUUCUUCUUCUGCUUCUGCUCAUAAUCGAUUCAUUCCAUUCCGUUCUGUUGCCUCUUCCGACGUAGAACCCUAUCUUUUCGGUUCUGUUAAUUCUUCUCACAAGCUCAAAAAUCGAUUUUCUCCCUAAACCCAUGAACCCUUAUCCAUUCAGUUGUUUACCUGAGAAAGAUGAAAAAACAUAAUUCAUUCAAAGAAAGCGACGAACCCUAGCCUCACUCUAAAAACGCGAUUCAUUCUCUACUUUUCAGAUUUGAUUUAUAUAAUUGUAUAUGUUUUGAUUUAUUUAUUUAUUUAUUUAUUUAUUAUAUUCCUGAUUAUGUGAGAAAAAGCGAUUUGAUGAAAUAGAUGUUGGACAGUAGAGGAGUAGCUGAGUAUCUUCCGGAUGAGGAAUUUGGAAAACCUUCUAGCCUUCCUACCCUGUUGUUUAGUACCAAAGGAAAAGAAAAAGCAAGAGAGAGAAGAUGAUGAUUCAGAUGAGCCGAAAGGAAAGGAAAAGCGGCAGAAGGGAGGAUUAGGAAAAGGUUUUCAUGCUCCACUUCAGUUAUCCGAUGCCCUUGCGAAGUUCCUUGGAGAAAGCGCAACAUCUGAUGUCAUUAAAAGAAAGUGGGAUUAUAUAAAAGGAAACAACCUUCAGCCAUAUGUUGGGGCUGCUGGAAUCAUUGUUCCAAUCAUAGUGUACGCAAACUUGAUUAUGUCCGUGCAAGACAUACCAAGACAGUUUAGGAAUUUAUUGGAGUAUUGGGAAGAUGAAAAAACUCAAGAAGUAAGUCAUCAAAAUGCUCAAAAUAUAGCUCAACUAAAAUAUAGACACCGUACAGGGAAUAAAGCCUUUGCUGUUAUAAGAGAAAAAAUGGUAUUCUUUUUUAAAUUCUUCUAAAUGAACGUUAAACAUUCUGCCACUUAAUUAAUAUUUUCUCUUACUCUUAAACCGAGUAAGUAGUGAAGAUAAAGAGCCUCCAACUCAAGCUCAAGUUUUCAUUGCUACUCGACAAAGUAGGAAAGGAAAGGAGUUGGAUAAAGAAACAAACAGUGCAAUUAUAAAGCUUCAAGACAUGAUUGAAAACAAUGGGCAGCCUUCUUCAGAAGCCUUUCAAAGUAUAGUUGGCAAAGAAAAACCUGGGAGAAUGCGUUGCCACGGAAGAACCACAACCCUCACGCUCUUGAAAAGAAAUGAAGAAAUUAAAAAACUUAAAAGAGAGCAUGCUGAUGAGGUUGCCCAAGUUAGGACAGUGGUUUGAUUAGUUUGAUUGUGAAUGAUUGACAAUAUUAGGACAACAUUACGUUGAUCGAUGUUAUUAUUUUGAUAUAUAUGAAUGAUAAUCAUUUUAGUUUAA